GUUUGUCCUAAAGUGAAAGUGAAAGCAUUCUUUUAGCGCUUUCACUCUUAUUUUCAGCUACUGCAGGACCAACAGCAAAGGUAACCACAAGAUGGGGAAUGAGCAGACUAAAAAAGCGCAGUAUGUCACUACAGGCAAAACGUUUGGGGCAGAAAAAGCUUUUAAGAAACAAGUUAAGAAGAAGCUCAAUAAACAUAUCAGCAACAUAUAUAAAGGCCACAUUGUUUAUUGCCCCAUCACCUCCCGUGUUGGCUCAGAUGUGGAAGCAGCUUUGGACCAAGUGAAAAGUAUGUAUUUAAUUUUUUCGUUAUAAAAAAUAAUCAGGAAUAUCUUACCAAACUUUGUUGUCAUAUAUCUAUACUAAGUUGCAGUACA